rnacentral:rRNA from 1 species
UACGGAGGGUGCAAGCGUUAUCCGGAUUUACUGGGUCUAAAGGGUGUGUAGGCGGACUUUUAAGUCAGCGGUGAAAUCUCCGGGCUCAACCCGGAAACUGCCAUUGAUACUAUUAGUCUUGAAUAUUGUUGAGGUAGGCGGAACGGGUCAUGUAGCGGUGAAAUGCAUAGAUAUGACCCGGAACACCGAUUGCGAAGGCAGCCUACUAAGCAAUUAUUGACGCUGAGGCACGAAAGCGUGGGGAUCAAACAGG